ensembl:snRNA U6 U6 spliceosomal RNA
GUCCUCACUUCAGCUGCACAUAUACUAAAAUUGAAAUGAUACAGAGAAGAUUAGUAUGGCCCCUGUACAAGGAUGACAUGCAAGUUCAGGAAGCAUUCCUUAUUUUU